ACGCGCCCGGUGGCAACCGGCCGCAACAGGGAAUGAUGGACGUAGCUAUUUUGCCGGUUUCUCGCUGCGACACCAACGCAUUGGUACGCGCUGACAUCUAACCCGUUCCGGGC
rnacentral:ncRNA from 17 species